UAAGGAAUAUUGCUCAAUGGGAGAAAUCCUGAAGCAGCAGCGCCGCGUGGAGGAUGAAGGGUCUAUGACUUGUAAACUCCUGUAAAGAAGGAAAAAAUUCCCAUUUGAUGGGAGAUGAUGGUACUUCUGGAGUAAGCCCCGGCUAACUACGUGCCAGCAGCCGCGGUAAUACGUAGGGGGCAAGCGUUGUCCGGAUUUACUGGGUGUAAAGGGUGCUCAGGCGGAUUUGUAAGUCAGAGGUGAAAUCUUACAGCUUAACUGUGAAACUGCCUUUGAUACUGCAAGCCUAGAGUAUGGAAGAGAGUGAUGGAAUAUCUGGUGUAGCAGUGAAAUGCGUAGAUAUCAGAUAGAACACCCAUGGCGAAGGCAGUCACUUGGUCCAUUACUGACGCUAAAGCACGAAAGCGUGGGUAGCAAACA
rnacentral:rRNA from 1 species